rnacentral:rRNA from 1 species
AUUGAACGCUGGCGGCAUGCCUUACACAUGCAAGUCGAACGGCAGCACGGGUGCUUGCCCCUGGUGGCGAGUGGCGAACGGGUGAGUAAUACAUGGGAACAUGUCCUGUAGUGGGGGAUAGCCCGGCGAAAGCCGGAUUAAUACCGCAUACGAUCUACGGCGGAAAGCGGGGGACCUUCGGGCCUCGCGCUUUGGGGUUGGCCGAUGGCUGAUUAGCUAGUUGGUGGGGUAAAGGCCUACCAAGGCGACGAUCAGUAGCUGGUCUGAGAGGACGACCAGCAACAGGGGGGCUGAGACGCGGCCCAGACUCCGGAGGGAGGCACCAGUGGGAAUUUUGGACAAUGGGCGAAAGCCUGAUCCAGCAAUGCCGCGUGUGUGAAGAAGGCCUUCGGGUUGUAAAGCACUUUUGUCCGGAGAGAAAUCCUUGGCUCUAAUACGGUCGGGGGAUGACGGUACCGGAAGAAUAAGCACCGGCUAACUACGUG